rnacentral:ncRNA from 1 species
AUCAAAGCUAUGAAGAAAAAGAGUACCUGUCUUUUGAUGCCAAGAGAGAAGAUGGCUGGUGAAAAUCUUCGUGAAGGAAACAGGGAAGCCGUUUCUGAGCUGUUUAGCCGAAAUGAUAUCUGUCCAGUAAGCUUUACCGGAGUUCCGGCCGUUAUAGCGGAAGCGGCAUUUUGUGCCGUCAGAGAGCAGAGUAACCUCUGAAUUUAGGUGGUAACACGGAUUUGCUAAUUCGCCCUAAGC